AACGCGAAGAACCUUACCUGGGCUUGACAUUUAGGGAAAAGCCGUAGAGAUACGGUGUCCUUCGGGGUCCUAAACAGGUGGUGCAUGGCUGUCGUCAGCUCGUGUCGUGAGAUGUUGGGUUAAGUCCCGCAACGAGCGCAACCCUUGUCCGAUGUUACCAGCGGGUUAUGCCGGGGACUCAUAGGAGACUGCCGGGGUCAACUCGGAGGAAGGUGGGGAUGACGUCAAGUCCUCAUGCCCCUUAUGUCUUGGGCUGCAAACAUGCUACAAUGGCCGGUACAAAGGGUUGCGAGACCGCAAGGUGGAGCGAAUCCCAAAAAGCCGGUCUCAGUUCGGAUUGGGGUCUGCAACUCGACCCCAUGAAGUCGGAGUCGCUAGUAAUCGCAGAUCAGCAACGCUGCGGUGAAUACGUUCCCGGGCCUUGUACACACCGACUGUAC
rnacentral:rRNA from 1 species